rnacentral:lncRNA from 1 species
UUAUUAAUAUCUACUGCUUUAUGAGAAAGAAAAGUUCAUGUACUAUUAAUAAGCAAACAAAAGCUGACGAUGAUAUUUCAAUGCAAGUAUGUGAACCGUAUGGAAUCCACAAGACUAAACUAAGUGAAGAGAAUGAAGGAGUCUAUGAUGAAUGUCAAACAUCACCUGAAGAUGUUUAUGAACGUAUGCCGCAAUGAAAGGUAUUAGAGCAACUUAAUAUAGAGUAACUGUUGAAACUUUUUCACUAGUUUUAGUGUAGCAAUUGUUUUUACAUAGUUUGUGUGAAAAAGAGAAUACAACUUUAUGAGUGCA